rnacentral:rRNA from 1 species
UACAGAGGUCUCAAGCGUUGUUCGGAUUCAUUGGGCGUAAAGGGUGCGUAGGCGGCGCGGUAAGUCGGGCGUGAAAUCUCGGAGCUUAACUCCGAAACUGCAUUCGAUACUGCGUGCUUGAGGACUGGAGAGGAGACUGGAAUUCAUGGUGUAGCAGUGAAAUGCGUAGAGAUCAUGAGGAAGACCAGUGGCGAAGGCGGGUCUCUGGACAGUUCCUGACACUGAGACACGAAGGCCAGGGGAGCAAACGGG